rnacentral:rRNA from 2 species
ACGGGAGGCAGCAGUGAGGAAUAUUGGUCAAUGGACGAGAGUCUGAACCAGCCAAGUCGCGUGAAGGAUGAAGGUUCUAUGGAUUGUAAACUUCUUUUAUUCGAGGGUAAAGUGAGGUACGUGUACCUUAUUGCAAGUAUCGAAUGAAUAAGCAUCGGCUAACUCCGUGCCAGCAGCCGCGGUAAUACGGAGGAUGCGAGCGUUAUCCGGAUUUAUUGGGUUUAAAGGGUGCGUAGGCGGAAGAUUAAGUCAGUGGUAAAAGCGUGUGGCUCAACCAUACCAAGCCGUUGAAACUGGUUUUCUUGAGUGUAAACGAGGUAGGCGGAAUAUGACGUGUAGCGGUGAAAUGCUUAGAUAUGUCAUAGAACCCCGAUUGCGAAGGCAGCUUACCAGCAUACAACUGACGCUGAGGCACGAAAGCGUGGGUAUCAAACAGGAUUAGAUACCCUGGUA